GGCAAGAUGGCCGAGUUGGUUAUGGCGCCAGGUUAAGGUCUCAAUCUUAGCAACUGAUUCCUGGUGGAGCAAUCCGCGUGGGUUCAAGUCCCACUCUUGUCA
rnacentral:tRNA from 1 species